UUGCAACGCAAGGGCAUAUGUGCUAGUAAAAUCCAAUAUAUCAAAUAUGUUAAAAUCCAGUAAAUAAUGCUAGUAAAGUAUAUACAAAUUUGCACUUCCAAUACACUGAACAAAAAAUGUACAUACAUCAGCAUUCACUACUCCUUUCAACAAUGCUAGAACAUGAUCACUUGUUUGUCUUUCAGCAGACAAUCUUUGACCACUGGCAACCGGGGAGCUGCUGGAGAUCGCUCCUCAGCUAGCUUAGCUGUUUGUUCAUCUAAAAAAGAAAAAGGGUUACCUUUCCAUUAAUUUUAGUCUUGUAGUUACAGCCCCUCAAGUAUUUGGUCACCUAUAUGUACUCUGUUUUCCAGUACCUUGUUUCAUAAUUAUCCUAUGUAUUUUCUUGAAGAGUGCAGGCUUAUUCUACACCAAUUCCCCUCCAUCCUCGAGUUACCUGGCCACCGUAGCUCCUCUCCUCUCUCUUGCCGCUCCAUGUGCUAGCUUUGAAAAUGCCAAAUUAUAUUGUGUCGCAUUGUUAUGUACGUAGUUAUGAUCAAUAACACAAAUACCUAAAAGCAAAGAAGAAAACCAAAGUGAAAUUGCUGGGAAAAUGUCAACAAAUCACAUACUGCUAGAUGAACCAUAAGAAUAUGAGUACCCCAUUAUGUCUCAAAUCAUCAUAAUACAGUGAUAGGUGAUGUAUAGGGAGAUAAAAGACAUUGGCAAUAAUUAAUAAUACUUACUGGUUAAAGAAAGAAAUUGGUCAUCUAAAAUUAUGAAUAUGAAGAUAAUGAACCCAUGAAGAUACUAACGAUUAGAAUUAUCCUUCCUUUCAAUCUCCAUCUUUAACAAACAGGAUAACCCAAAAUGAAUAGGCGAUACUUUUAACAAAAAUCUAAAAAAAAUUAAGGAUAAGCUAUAGAAUAUGUUACCAUUAAGGUAGAUGUUAAUUGCAAGAACAACUUUUAGAUCAAUGCUACACUUUUGUCAUGCAUCACGUUAACAUGUGCCGCAACUUGUGGAGGAUAACAUGUGCUCAUUAUUCAUGUGCAUCCAGAUCUCCAAGUAUUAACACAAGAAAUUAUUCAGUUGUAACACACUUUAGCCAUGCCCGAAAUAUGAUUAGUGGAAUGCUCUGCUCGGUAAAUUAUUACCCAGCGCAUAUUGUUUCACCAAUUUUGAACAAAUGGACUGGAUCGCUUAUCAAGUAUUUUCAAGCGAUGAAACUAAUAUCACAUGUGGAAAAAUGCUUUUCAGGCUUUCCUCUUACGAUACUAUAGAAACUUGGUUCUCUCACAUGUACAUAUGAACCUACUUAUGAUAAUGUUGAUCCCAGCCACGUAUGGAAACACUGAUUGAGAUUUACUCAAUAGGAUAGCUAAAACCUGACAGUAGUGAUUUUUUAAAUGUUAGUAGUAAUCCAGACCAAAAGAACAAGGUAAGCGAGUGAAAGAGUCAACUUACCUUUAACAAAAUUUUGUCAUAUGCCAAAAAAGUUUCAUCCCUGAAUGUUUAAUGAAGAGAUGCUUCUGGCACUUUUGGUUCCUCCAUAUCACGCUGCAAUGAACAUGUCCCAUUGGAAAAAUUAGAUAUAUAAAAAAAUUAAAAUGGCAGCAAUUACUAUUCAAUAGUGAACAAUCAGGCUAUUAGAACAUACCUAUAUACAGUUGUGUAGCACCAUAACAUCUUAAAUUGGGAUAAAGACAGCCAAAGUUCACCAUUAAUAUACAAUCAGGCUUCUGAACAAUAACUGCCAGCAGCCCAACAGUA
rnacentral:lncRNA from 1 species